rnacentral:tRNA from 1 species
GGGGAUAUAGUUCAGUGGCACAGCGUCUGCCUGGCAAGCAUGAGUUGUGAGUUCAAUCCCCCACAUCCCCC